rnacentral:rRNA from 1 species
UCCAGACUCCUACGGGAGGCAGCAGUGGGGAAUAUUGCACAAUGGGGGAAACCCUGAUGCAGCGACGCCGCGUGAGUGAAGAAGUAUUUCGGUAUGCAAAGCUCUAUCAGCAGGGAAGAAAAAAGACGGUACCUGACUAAGAAGCCCCGGCUAACUACGUGCCAGCAGCCGCGGUAAUACGUAGGGGGCAAGCGUUAUCCGGAUUUACUGGGUGUAAAGGGAGCGUAGACGGCAAUACAAGUCGGAAGUGAAAUACCCGGGCUCAACCUGGGAACUGCUUUGGAAACUGUAUGGCUGGAGUGCUGGAGAGGUAAGCGGAAUUCCUAGUGUAGCGGUGAAAUGCGUAGAUAUUAGGAGGAACACCAGUGGCGAAGGCGGCUUACUGGACAGUAACUGACGUUGAGGCUCGAAAGCGUGGGGAGCAAACAGGAUUAGAUACCCUGGUACUU